CAAAAUUAGAAUUAAACACAAAGGGGAAAAAUUGGUCACUUAAAAUGCCAAUUUUUCCCCUUUGUUUUUAGUCCAUUUUUUU